rnacentral:lncRNA from 10 species
CUCCUGAGGAGAAAGAAAGAGAGGGAGGGAGAGAAAAAGAGAGAGAGAGAAACAAAAAACCAAAGAGAGAGAAAAAAUGAAUUCAUCUAAAUCAUCUGAAACACAAUGCACAGAGAGAGGAUGCUUCUCUUCCCAAAUGUUCUUAUGGACUGUUGCUGGGAUCCCCAUCCUAUUUCUCAGUGCCUGUUUCAUCACCAGAUGUGUUGUGACAUUUCGCAUCUUUCAAACCUGUGAUGAGAAAAAGUUUCAGCUACCUGAGAAUUUCACAGAGCUCUCCUGCUACAAUUAUGGAUCAGCUCGUGUCCUCUGUCUCUUGCCUCAGCGCCUGGGUGGCUUGCCGCCCACAUCUAACCCAUCUAUAUACUACAGUAUGGAGAUUUGAUUGAGGAUACAUUGUUUAGGUUCAGUCAAGAAUUGUUGUCCAUUGAACUGGGAAUAUUUUCAAUCCAGCUGCUACUUCUUUUCUACUGACACCAUUUCCUGGGCGUUAAGUUUAAAGAACUGCUCAGCCAUGGGGGCUCACCUGGUGGUUAUCAACUCACAGGAGGAGCAGGAAUUCCUUUCCUACAAGAAACCUAAAAUGAGAGAGUUUUUUAUUGGACUGUCAGACCAGGUUGUCGAGGGUCAGUGGCAAUGGGUGGACGGCACACCUUUGACAAAGUCUCUGAGCUUCUGGGAUGUAGGGGAGCCCAACAACAUAGCUACCCUGGAGGACUGUGCCACCAUGAGAGACUCUUCAAACCCAAGGCAAAAUUGGAAUGAUGUAACCUGUUUCCUCAAUUAUUUUCGGAUUUGUGAAAUGGUAGGAAUAAAUCCUUUGAACAAAGGAAAAUCUCUUUAAGAACAGAAGGCACAACUCAAAUGUGUAAAGAAGGAAGAGCAAGAACAUGGCCACACCCACCGCCCCACACGAGAAAUUUGUGCGCUGAACUUCAAAGGACUUCAUAAGUAUUUGUUACUCUGAUAUAAA